rnacentral:rRNA from 1 species
UACGUAGGGGGCAAGCGUUGUCCGGAUUUAUUGGGCGUAAAGAGCGUGUAGGCGGCUUUACAGGUCCGUUGUGAAAACUCGAGGCUCAACCUCGAGACGCCGGUGGAAACCGUAAAGCUAGAGUCCGGAAGAGGAGAGUGGAAUUCCUGGUGUAGCGGUGAAAUGCGCAGAUAUCAGGAGGAACACCGGUGGCGAAGGCGGGUCUCUGGGCCGGAACUGACGCUGAGGAGCGAAAGCGUGGGGAGCGAACAGG